rnacentral:rRNA from 1 species
CACGUAGGGCGCAAGCGUUGUCCGGAAUUAUUGGGCGUAAAGAGCUCGUAGGCGGUCUGUUACGUCUGCUGUGAAAACCCAGGGCUUAACCCUGGGCUUGCAGUGGAUACGGGCAGACUAGAGGCAGGUAGGGGAGAAUGGAAUUCCCGGUGUAGCGGUGAAAUGCGCAGAUAUCGGGAGGAACACCGGUGGCGAAGGCGGUUCUCUGGGCCUGACCUGACGCUGAGGAGCGAAAGCGUGGGGAGCAAACAGG